GACUUCGGUCUGGUGGCGAGUGGCGAACGGGUGAGUAAUAUAUCGGAACGUGCCCUGGAGUGGGGGAUAACUAGUCGAAAGACUAGCUAAUACCGCAUACGAUCUAUGGAUGAAAGUGGGGGAUCGCAAGACCUCAUGCUCGUGGAGCGGCCGAUAUCUGAUUAGCUAGUUGGUGGGGUAAAAGCCUACCAAGGCAUCGAUCAGUAGCUGGUCUGAGAGGACGACCAGCCACACUGGGACUGAGACACGGCCCAGACUCCUACGGGAGGCAGCAGUGGGGAAUUUUGGACAAUGGGGGCAACCCUGAUCCAGCAAUGCCGCGUGAGUGAAGAAGGCCUUCGGGUUGUAAAGCUCUUUUGUCAGGGAAGAAACGGUUCUGGCUAAUACCUGGAGCUAAUGACGGUACCUGAAGAAUAAGCACCGGCUAACUACGUGCCAGCAGCCGCGGUAAUACGUAGGGUGCAAGCGUUAAUCGGAAUUACUGGGCGUAAAGCGUGCGCAGGCGGUUGUUGCAAGACAGAUGUGAAAUCCCCGGGCUCAACCUGGGAAUUGCAUUUG
rnacentral:rRNA from 1 species